rnacentral:rRNA from 1 species
UACGAAGGGGGCUAGCGUUGCUCGGAAUCACUGGGCGUAAAGGGCGCGUAGGCGGCUUAUCAAGUCGGGGGUGAAAGCCCGUGGCUCAACCACGGAAUGGCCUUCGAUACUGGUAGGCUUGAGACCGGAAGAGGACAGCGGAACUGCGAGUGUAGAGGUGAAAUUCGUAGAUAUUCGCAAGAACACCAGUGGCGAAGGCGGCUGUCUGGUCCGGUUCUGACGCUGAGGCGCGAAAGCGCGGGGAGCAAACAGG